UCUCUAUGACAAAAGAAGUCUCUUGCACCUCCCACAAAUAGGUGAUGCAAAAUGGAGAAGCAAUAGCCACUGAGGGCUCUCUCCAGUUCCUCUUAACAGUGAACAGCUGCAACUUCUUAAAGUUGAAAUUAUCAGGCUAUUAAGGACCAUUUGAUUGCUGGGCACCAUUCACCCAUCUACCCCAGCAAAAAAAAAGCUACAGAACAGGUUGGAAAAAUUAAACAGGAUUCAGCUGGAUCCACGUAGCUUCCCUCAUGAGUGGAGAUGAAUGGAAAAUUUAUCCAUCGUCCCUGCUUCUCCUGGGUCAUGUGGACUUUGGAGGAUUUGGAGCAGGAGAGAGAAGCCUGAGCAGCAAACAAGUUGGAACUGGAGCCUGCCUUGACAGUUGCAGCAGAAAUGCCUUUCUGGAGUAUGCCAGGGCUAUAAAAUGAAUUUGACAUCUGUGGAAAGGAGAAGGGCAGCAAUAAAUUUAUCAGCUUUGUAUUUAGAUGAUUUUAGACUGACGUAUAUGUUUCUCUUAUCAUGGACUUCAGUUGAGCCAGUCAAGAUGCAAAAAUAUGCUAUCAUGAUAGGAGGAUGGCCUAAGAAACUGAGGAGACAACAACUUCUGGAGAAAUCUUUCAGUCAGCUGUGCAUCAGUACUUCAGGUGUCUUCAUGACUCAAAGCACCUCAAACUUCAGUGCAUCUUAAACUAUCCUUUGGGCAUGGUGACACACAAUGUUCUGGGCCACCUGGAAACAGAAGCAUUACAAAGCAGCAGCAACCAUCUAUUACAUCAGUGAACUGCAACAAGAAAAGAGCUUGAACUACAGUAUGUGAUGUUUUAAAUAUGGUCCCUGAGCCAAGUUGUUUCCUCCCUAGAACAUGCGUUAGGCAUCAGCUCUCGCCCGUCAUUUGCUGGGAUUGAUAAUGUGCCAAGUCUUGAAGUCUUGACUCAGUUCUUACUCCGACAAGACUCCCAUGGAAAUCAAUGGAAGUUUUGCCUGAUAAAAUGCUUCUGGAUUCCUCUCCAAAACACUUGGCUGUUUUGCAGGCACGUUUGCAAAAAUCCAACAUUUCAGCCCUGUAAAGCAGGAUUAUCAAAAUCUUAACUGAUGGAGGACAUUCUGAGGGCAAAAUACCCGGGGGCCUGCUGCUGGCAGUGGAACACUGCCUAUGUUUGAAAACCAAACCAAAACAAACCCAAGGACUACAGGACAGUACAUCAUCUAAAAAGCUGCUAGCAGAACAGCAGUUAAACUUAUCUGGCAGUAUCCACAUAUGUACAGCAUGAAACGACAGUACCUUGUUACACUGUAAGGUGAUCAAUCAAUGACUUGUGUUAUUUGGAGUCAUUUUGAAACUGAACAAAAGGCUAUGAGACGAGAUUUUUAUUAUUUAUUUAUUUUAUGUUUGUCCUGCAUGUGGAAAUUAGAAAAACUAAUGUGCAAUUGGUUCAUACAGAAAGAUGUACUGUAGCUUAGCAAGCAUUGCAUUGCAAUCAGUUUCAACAAAUACCACAAAAACACUUCAGGAUGAAUACAAUCACCAGAAAUAAAGAGAAACAAACUUUAA